rnacentral:rRNA from 1 species
UGCUUCUUGCAAGAAUAUAAGAAGUAAUUCCUGCCCAGUGACUAAAGUUCAACGGCCGCGGUAUCCUAACCGUGCAAAGGUAGCAUAAUCACUUGCCCGUUAAUUGCGGGCUAGAAUGAAAGGACUAACGAAAUAAAGACUGUCUCUAUAAGUUAAGUAAAAAUUAAUCUCUAACUGAAGACUGUUAGAUAUUAUCGAAGGACAAGAAGACCCUAUAGAGCUUCAUUUUAACAAAUUUAUUAAAUUUAUUAAGAUUCGGUUGGGGCGACCAAGGAAAAUAAAUCAUCCUGCUAAUAUAGAUUAAUUAAUCUAACUUCUGACCCUUAAUAAAGAUCAUUAAAACAAGCUACCUUAGGGAUAACAGGCUAAUCCCACUAAAGAGUCCUUAUCAAUAGUGGGGUUUGGCACCUCGAUGUUGGCUUAGGGAAUCUAUAUGGCGCAAAAGUCAUAUAAAGAUGGUUUGUUCAA